CGACAUAAGAACAAAAACUGAUUCAAACGGGUACGCGUCACCUCUAUUUAUAAACUAACCGUAUAUGGUUUAGUCACUUAGGUGCGAGUGUGUGCAAAUGCCAACGUUACCGAAAAUCGAUAGCGCUUAUUGCAUCGCCCGGAGACGACGUUGCUCGUGUGGGAUAAGAGCAACAACUGAUUUAAACGGACAUGCGUUGCUUCUAUUUAUGACUUUUCGUGUUUCAUUGAGCAACUAAGCUGCCCUCUUUUGACGGCUGUGUCUGAGAAAUCUGCCUCACGAAUGGUAUUUUUCCCGUUUUUUGUGAACUUUUUAAUUUUACCAAUUUCCAAAAGUCUACUUUUAUUGGGGAGAUAUUAAAUUAUUACCAAUAUUUAAGUUAGGUGUUUCUGAAUCGGUUGGUGUAUGAAUGAUUAAAAUCCAUCUAGUAAUAUCGGAGUUAUAAGCGUGCAAACCUUACAUAGUUUCGUUACAUGGGAGAUAGUUUAGAUUUUAGAAUGACACCUAGCCCCAGAUAGUGGAGUAAGACAUUUUUAAUGUCAAAAUCAAAAAUUCUUCGAGCUGCCCAUUUUACUCUGUAUUCCCCUGUCCUAUUUUACCUCGAUUCUCCAUACUUUUUCACCAUUUGGAUGAACUUCGAGUGGGGAAUAUGAAAUAAAGUUACGGCGGGUAGCCUAUAACAUAGUUCCAGUAGCCUACCGCUAGCCGGCAUCUGUUUUAAUCUGGCUAUUCGCCGUUUCGUUUACUGGGUAUGAACUCCAAGAGUUCAUUCCAAUUUGUCAAAAACAUUGUUUUGACGUAGAUGAACCCCAAAACAGUGUUGCAGAAUAUACCGAUUUAUCGAUAUUUAAACCGAUUUUUAAUUUCAAUACCAAUAAUGUUACUAAAAAUACCGAUUUCUUUUUUCUUACCAAAAAAUCACGAUUUUCAUAUAAUAAGAUAUAAUAAGAUCAAUAUUAUUACGUAUGGGCCUUUUUAGAAAAUGUCUUCACCUUUCCACAUCAAAUCAUCCGGAAAUUGAUUCAGCAAUCUGCCAGGUUACCAAAUACAAAUAUGUUAAUACGGAAUGCUCUGAGGAUUUUUUGAGGACACAUUUUAUGACCCAGGUACACUGUCAGAGUGACAGCAUACUUUGAUGAAAUUGUGCUAAAACUGGCUGCACUGAUAGAUUUGUUUUUGAUUGUUUGACACUUCUAAAUAUUUUAGUUUUCUGCAGAAAAAAUCUCAGAAAACUAACGACUGAUUUUUGUUGACGUCGGGCACCAGUUACAGUUACAGUUUGAAAUUAUAUCUCUCCUCGGAUGAACGCGCCCGUUAUGUGUUACCCCGCAACAGCUGACUUAACUGAUUGUUCAAAUCCUCGAAUUUAUCCUGCUCGCUGUCGUUCAUGUUUUUAUUACUUUCCCCUAGUUCUACACAAUCAUUAGCCAUUGGAUCGGUUCGUGAUUUUAGGGAAUAGUAAACGUUAUGAAAAAAUCCAUUGUAUAAUAUAAUUAUAGUGUAUAGUUCAUGAAUCCGAAGUGGUUCAAAAGGAUGUCGCUGUACAGAUUCAGAGCGGCCGCUUCCAGCUCAGCAAAAGUGAAAGCCACUUGACGGUUAAAUUCGUAGUGUGUCCGCUGAUAGCGCUCGGGGACAGAAAAAUCUCAUAGGUCAUAGUCGCUUCCGACUUCGUUGCCGUCAACAUUAAACACAACAGCAAGAUACUUGGAAAGGACUCUCGUUCGAACAAACAUAAUGGAAGCGUAUUCUACACGCACAUAUUCACUCGGGCCAACCGUGUGACUCAUUUGGAAAAAGGACUCAUCGUCGGUUUCAUGGCAGCGAAGUGAGCAGACAAAAAAGGCAUCGUUUUUUUUCACAUGAUCGUUCUGAGCAAAAUUCAGCGAUUUGCCAGGCAUAAACCACCGAUGAGACAGUACCCGUUCGGAUUCAGGACGUUUUCCCAUACAUUGUACCCGGUCGAAGCGAUGGCAAGCGAUGCAGAUAACUGGGUCAAAAAGGCGGAGGUUCUGAGAAUUUCUGCACUCGUUAGCGAUCUGAGUAUGACCAAGGACAAGGAAUCAGAACCGGCGACUGACAGUCCAGAGAAAGAGAAUGCGGAAAAACCUUCUAGUCCAUAGCUCCUGAAGAAAAACGAGCUGAAGCGAAUAUGGAGAAACAGCUUCCUCCACGGAAAAUGCAGAGGC